rnacentral:rRNA from 1 species
CGCGUAGGCGGCUUGGCAAGUGGAAGGUGAAAUCCCUCGGCUUAACCGAGGAACUGCCCUCCAAACUGCUUCGCUUGAGACCGGGAGAGGUGAGUGGAAUUCCCAGUGUAGCGGUGAAAUGCGUAGAUAUUGGGAGGAACACCAGAGGCGAAGGCGGCGACCUGGACAGAUACUGACACUCAACUACGAAAGCGUGGGGAGCAAACA